rnacentral:rRNA from 1 species
UACGUAGGGUCCGAGCGUUGUCCGGAAUUACUGGGCGUAAAGCGCGCGUAGGCGGCUUUGCAAGUCGAGUGUGAAAUCCCCAGGCUUAACCUGGGAACUGCAUUCGAGACUGCAUAGCUAGAGUAUGGGAGAGGGAAGUGGAAUUUCAGGUGUAGCGGUGAAAUGCGUAGAUAUCUGAAGGAACAUCAGUGGCGAAAGCGACUUCCUGGACCAAUACUGACGCUCAUGUGCGAAAGCGUGGGGAGCAAACAGG